GCUGAGGUGAAGGGGCCGCUGAGAGGCAGCCGGGCAGCGAAGGGCGGGGGUGCUCACAAGAUGGUGGUCGCGUCGUUUCAUUUCUCCAGAGAAGUUUCCAUCUCCCGGCUCCUCGUGUGGGAGCUGCGGCGGUGUAAGUUUUGUGAUGCUGUCUCCAGUGUUGCUGUGUACUGUUGGAAGCCCCUGGACAUGUGAUCCAGUUCACACUGUUGGUUCACGCACAACCUGGCUUGAAAGAGAUGAGAACUCUUCAACUGAACAGCACCUGAAAAGAAUUAUUUUAUGGUCCAGAAAAAAAAUCUUCAGCGCUGACUGCACAGGU